GCAUCUGUGCAUGCAGCAUAUCAAUAAGCGGAGGAAAAGAAACUAACAAGGAUUCCCCUAGUAACGGCGAGUGAAGCGGGAAGAGCUCAAAUUUGAAAUCUUAAAGGGUUUCCCUUUACGAAUUGUAGUUUAAAGAAGUGUUUUCUGUUGAGGUUUUGGUAAAAGUUCUUUGGAAUAGGACAUCAUAGAGGGUGAGAAUCCCGUAUUUGACCUUUACUUUCAACUUUGUGAUACACUUUCAAAGAGUCGGAUUGUUUGGGAAUGCAGUCCAAAAUGGGUGGUAAAUUUCAUCUAAAGCUAAAUAUUGGCGAGAGACCGAUAGCGAACAAGUACCGUGAGAGAAAGAUGAAAAGAACUUCGAAAAGAGAGUUAAACAGUACGUGAAAUUGUCAAAAGGGAAGCGUUUGACACCAGUGUUGUUUUCCUGAAAAUCAAUUAAAGAACUGUUUAUGCUAAGUUGUUUAGACUUUAUCAGCUAUCUGUUUAGUUUUGAGCUUUUCUUUAAUGCACUCUUCAGUUAACAAGUCAACAUCAAUUUCUUUGCUGUAAAUAAGCUUGAGGAAGGUGGCUUGAGAUUCGUCUUAAGUGUCUAUAGCCUCUUGCCUAUGCAGUCGGAGAGAUUGAGGUCUGCAGCGUAGAUCCUUCGGGGCUAAAUGCAUUUGUGCUAAGUUAUAGCAUUUUAUAGACAAUUUGUUGACUAUGAUUUGUCUUGUAGCUUACUCGCUUAUGUUAUUUUACCUACGCUUAGGAUGUUGAGUCGUAGAGCACGCAG
rnacentral:rRNA from 1 species